GACGAACGCUGGCGGCGUGCUUAACACAUGCAAGUCGAGCGGUAAGGCCCUUUCGGGGGUACACGAGCGGCGAACGGGUGAGUAACACGUGGGUGACCUGCCCUCAGCUCUGGGAUAAGCCUGGGAAACCGGGUCUAAUACUGGAUAUGACUCCAUGACGCAUGUUGUGGGGUGGAAAGCCUUGUGCGGCUGAGGAUGGGCCCGCGGCCUAUCAGCUUGUUGGUGGGGUGAUGGCCUACCAAGGCGACGACGGGUAGCCGGCCUGAGAGGGCGACCGGCCACACUGGGACUGAGACACGGCCCAGACUCCUACGGGAGGCAGCAGUGGGGAAUCUUGCGCAAUGGGCGAAAGCCUGACGCAGCGACGCCGCGUGAGGGAUGACGGCCUCGGUUGUAACGUAC
rnacentral:rRNA from 1 species